AUUUGAUGGUGUGGGCAGCUUGCACACAAUUUCUUGAAGCGCUCCCAGUACUCAUACAAGAUCUCUUCGUUAUAUUAUUUAAUGCAGCAGAUCUCCUUCCUGAUAUU